rnacentral:rRNA from 1 species
AGCAGUCGCCGCGGUAAUACGGAGGAUCCAAGCGUUAUCCGGAAUCAUUGGGUUUAAAGGGUCCGUAGGCGGUCUUGUAAGUCAGUGGUGAAAGCCCAUCGCUCAACGGUGGAACGGCCAUUGAUACUGCAGGACUUGAAUUAUUGGGAAGUAACUAGAAUAUGUAGUGUAGCGGUGAAAUGCUUAGAGAUUACAUGGAAUACCAAUUGCGAAGGCAGGUUACUACCAAUUGAUUGACGCUGAUGGACGAAAGCGUGGGUAGCGAACAGGAUUAGAUACCCCUGUAGUCCCUGUCUCUUAUAC